UUGUUUAUUUAAAAUAUAAACUCAGACAAAUUGAUAAAAAUAUAGAGUUGUGGUUCCUUUGGUGAAGACACAUCCAUCUCGCAAACACAAGAUCAAUGGGCCUACCGAAGCAAUGCACGCUUCACCAAAGUAAUAUAGUAAGGUAACACAAAGGGUGGGAGAUUCCAUGACUAGCAUGGAAAAAUCUCGGUAAUGAUCCUUCCGCAGGUUCACCUACGGAAA
rnacentral:misc_RNA from 1 species